UCAUGAAAGCAGUAUGCGUUUCGGCUCGGCUGUUCAGAGGAUGUAUUCCCCAUAAGAGCGCAUCAGCCAGCCCUGCACAGCCCAGCAGGCUGGUGUCAUUACCGCGGUGUGUUCGCUAGUUAGCGGCACAAGGAGAGUGUGUUUUCGUUAUCCGCCAUGAAGAAGCACAUUUUAACAGCAUCGGAGAGCAAACAUCUUCAGAAACUCGGCAGUUGUAAUACCCGAAUAUCGCGCUGAUUCAGGACACGACCAGCGGCUCCUUCACUUGGGGCGAGACCCAGCUAAGGUGAAACUCAUCAUUUAACGGACCAUGCUUUCUGAUUGCUGAGAUUGUCUGGGCCCCUCAGUAGAUAUAAAUAAAAGGACAAAUAACCUCUCUGUGAUGUGUGAGUAAUUUCCAGCGUAAUGUCUGUUGUGAUAAACUGCAUCGUAGCCUCCA